CCAGUAUCUAAAGUCUUAGACCUGUGGAGCAAAAUUCUCCCAUGUAGGGUUAAAUAUAAAUCACAUCCUUUUAAAAUACGACUACAUAAGAUACAUCCUUAUAGAUCUCAUAAUAUAGAUCAAAUCUACAGAUUCAACAUACCCCUUUUUUUGUAGUUAUGUUUUUAUAGAAUUGUCAAUACUGCACUAUAUCAUCAGUCUGAAAAUGUCACAAUAUGCUCAUUCUUGCUUGCAUGAGAAGCACUGCAUCUAGGUCCAACUACCCGGUACUAGUUGGGCUUCAAAUUAAUUUAAUGUCACAAAUUGAUAAAUAUUAUUGUUCAAGUUCCAGAUUAAUUAGUUAAACUGAUUUUAUUUUUUCAGACAAUAAAACCAUUCUGUUAAUACCGGUAUUUUGGCAGUGACAGGAUAAUAUUUAUUUUUCUCUAAACAUCUGCUUCUACAAGGCUGUUACAUUUCAAUUUUUGUCCUAAUUGUCCUCAAAUAACAUUUGUCUGCUUGUCACUGGUCAUUAUUUUGCAAUUUAUUACCUAUAGGCACAUUUUCUUCCACCAUGUUGGGUUUAAUUUAUAAUUUUUUUUUUGCU